rnacentral:rRNA from 1 species
UACGGGGGGAGCAAGCGUUGUUCGGAAUCAUUGGGCGUAAAGCGCGCGUAGGUGGCCUCAUAAGUCCGCUGUGAAAGUCAAAGGCUCAACCUUUGAAAGCCGGUGGAUACUGUGGGGCUAGAGUACGGAAGAGGCGAGUGGAAUUCCUGGUGUAGCGGUGGAAUGCGCAGAUAUCAGGAGGAACACCAAUAGCGAAGGCAGCUCGCUGGGACGUUACUGACACUGAGGCGCGAAAGCGUGGGGAGCGAACAGG